UUAAGUGUGGAAGUAAGUCACCGAGAAGUCAAAUGGUGUCCCUGUCUGCACAAGGGGCUUUGCCCUUCAUCAAUAAAGUUACCAACAAGAAUCAACAAAAAAUUGAUUAGGCUAAUUUUUAUAGAAACCUGUGAGGGGACUAAACAAUCUCAGCCUUCUUGUACAGUUUUGGCCAUGAGAAAUUGUAAUUUCAUCUCCAAUAGAGACAAAGAGUGAAAUUUAGCUGGAUCCCAUCUUGAAGAACGAGACCGUGAUUUGUUCAGUAGCAUCCCAGCAAAACAAGAAGGCCCUUCACUCAAUUUUGGCCCCUAAGCUCACAUACCUCAACAUCCUGGCUUCUUCUUCAUCCAAUGAUCCCGCAAACCCAUCUAAGAAAAAUGAAAUUCAAUCCAUAAGUCCUAAACUUUAAUGAUAGUAGUCAGAGUGCACAAAUGAGAUAUUAUUACUUUGCUUCUAUGGCCUGGGUCUCAUCUUGCUUCUUCUAUUUUACCUUUCUUCUUCCUCUUAGUGUUUAAUUUGGCUUUGUACAGAGAACAUGUGAAUCAGUGGAGAGGAAGAAAGAGAGAGAGAUUACAAGCCUCUUUGAAGUGAACAGCCUAGAAUCCAUUCAGCUACAGUAUGGAACCAGACAAGUGUGAAAAC
rnacentral:lncRNA from 1 species